rnacentral:rRNA from 1 species
UGGGGAAUAUUGGACAAUGGGCGCAAGCCUGAUCCAGCCAUGCCGCGUGAGUGACGAAGGCCUUAGGGUUGUAAAGCUCUUUUGGCGGGGACGAUAAUGACGGUACCCGCAGAAUAAGCCCCGGCUAACUUCGUGCCAGCAGCCGCGGUAAUACGAAGGGGGCUAGCGUUGUUCGGAAUUACUGGGCGUAAAGCGCACGUAGGCGGACUUUCAAGUCAGGGGUGAAAUCCCGGGGCUCAACCUCGGAACUGCCUCUGAUACUGUUGGUCUUGAAUCCGGUAGAGGUGGGUGGAAUUCCUAGUGUAGAGGUGAAAUUCGCAGAUAUUAGGAAGAACACCGGUGGCGAAGGCGGCCCACUGGACCGGUAUUGACGCUGAGGUGCGAAAGCGUGGGGAGCAAACAGGAUUAGAUACCCCAGUAGUCCCUGAGCGGGCUGGCAAGGCGCAU